rnacentral:tRNA from 1 species
GGUCUCAUAGUCUAGCGGUUAGGACGUUGGCCUCUCACGCCAUUAACAGGGGUUCGAUUCCCCUUGGGACUACCA